UGUCACAGCCGCCGCGGUAAUACGGAGGAUGCAAGCGUUAUCCGGAAUUAUUGGGUUUAAAGGGUGCGUAGGCGGACUGAUAAGUCAGUGGUGAAAUUUCCGGGCUUAACCUGGGACCUGCCAUUGAUACUGUUGGUCUUGAGUGUAGUUGAUGUUGGCGGAAUGUGUCAUGUAGCGGUGAAAUGCAUAGAUAUGACACAGAACACCGAUAGCGAAGGCAGCUGACAAAACUAUAACUGACGCUGAGGCACGAAAGCGUGGGGAUCAAACAGGAUUAGAUACCCUGGUAGUCCACGCCGUAAACGAUGAUCACUAGCUGUAUGCGAUACACAGUAUGUGGCUAAGGGAAACCGAUAAGUGAUCCACCUGGGGAGUACGUCCGCAAGGAUGAAACUCAAAGGAAUUGACGGGGGCCCGCACAAGCGGAGGAGCAUGUGGUUUAAUUCGAUGAUACGCGAGGAACCUUACCUGGGCUUGAACGUAUGGUGCAUGGGUGUGAAAGCAUCCUUUCUAGCAAUAGACUUCAUACGAGGUGCUGCAUGGUUGUCGUCAGCUCGUGCCGUGAGGUGUUAGGUUAAGUCCUGCAACGAGCGCAACCCCUGUUUUUAGUUGCCAUCAGGUUAAGCUGGGCACUCUAGAGAGACUGCCUGCGCAAGCAGAGAGGAAGGUGGGGAUGACGUCAAAUCAGCACGGCCCUUACGUCCAGGGCUACACACGUGCUACAAUGGCCGGUACAGAGGGCAGCUACAUGGUGACAUGAUGCGAAUCUCCAAAGCCGGUCUUAGUUCGGAUCGGAGUCUGCAACUCGACUUCGUGAAGCUGGAUUCGCUAGUAAUUGUAUAUCAGCCAUGAUACGGUGAAUACGUUCCCGGGCCUUGUACACACCGCCCGUCAAGCCAUGGGAGUUAGGGGUACCUGAAGUCGAUAACCGCAAGGAGUCGCCUAGGGUAAACCUGAUGACUGGGGCUAAGUCGUAACAAGGUAACCAAUCG
rnacentral:rRNA from 1 species